UUUGGUGGCGAUAGCGAAGAGGUCACACCCGUUCCCAUGCCGAACACGGAAGUUAAGCUCUUCAGCGCCGAUGGUAGUCGGGGGUUUCCCCCUGUGAGAGUAGGACCUUGUAAUC
rnacentral:rRNA from 1 species